rnacentral:rRNA from 1 species
GACGAACGCUGGCGGCGUGCUUAACACAUGCAAGUCGAACGAUGACGACCGAGCUUGCUCGGUCUGAUUAGUGGCGAACGGGUGAGUAACACGUGAGCAACCUGCCCUUCACUCUGGGAUAACCUCGGGAAAUCGGGGCUAAUACCGGAUAUGAGCUCCUGUCGCAUGGCGGGUGUUGGAAAGUUUUUCGGUGAAGGAUGGGCUCGCGUCCUAUCAGUUUGUUGGUGAGGUAGUGGCUCACCAAGGCGAUGACGGGUAGCCGGCCUGAGAGGGCGACCGGCCACACUGGGAAUGAGACGCGGCCAAGACUCCUACGGGAGGCAGCAGUGGGGAAUAUUGCACAAUGGGCGAAAGCCUGAUGAAGCGACGCCGCGUGAGGGAUGACGGCCUUCGGGUUGUAAACCUCUUUCAGCAGGGAAGAAGCGAAAGUGACGGUACCUGCAGAAGAAGCGCCGGCUAACUACGUG